UAAGGAAUACUGGUCAAUGGACGCAAGUCUGAACCAGCCAUGCCGCGUGAAGGAUGAAGGUCCUCUGGAUUGUAAACUUCUUUUAUAUGGGACGAAAAAAGGGGAUUCUUCCUCACUUGACGGUACCAUAGGAAUAAGCACCGGCUAACUCCGUGCCAGCAGCCGCGGUAAUACGGAGGGUGCAAGCGUUAUCCGGAUUUACUGGGUUUAAAGGGUGCGUAGGUGGGCAGGUAAGUCAGUGGUGAAAUCUCCGGGCUUAACCCGGAAACUGCCAUUGAUACUAUCUGUCUUGAAUAUCCUGGAGGUGAGCGGAAUAUGUCAUGUAGCGGUGAAAUGCUUAGAUAUGACAUAGAACACCGAUUGCGAAGGCAGCUCACUACGGGAUCAUUGACGCUGAGGCACGAAAGCGUGGGGAUCAAACA
rnacentral:rRNA from 1 species